rnacentral:lncRNA from 1 species
UCUCUGGGUCAGCAAUGCAUUAGAAGGCAGAGUUAUUAUCUCAGCUCCUUUGGGUACCCUUCCCACAGAAUCUACUUAAUUACUUGCACUAUUUGAAACUGAUUUAGACCAAUAAUAAUAAUAACAAUAAUAAUAAUAAUACAAAAACAAAGUUGUUUCUUGCUGAAUUGCAAUUUUCUAGUACAUCAUAGGAUCAUAGAUUCAGAGCUCCAAGGGACUUUGUAGAUUAUCUAUUGUAAAUCUCUCAUUUUACAGAUGAAGAAAUCAAGGCUUACAGAGGAAUUGGCCAUGUUUCCUGGCAGCAAACCAGAGGUUCAGCAUUCAACUUAUUAAGAGUUUAAUGUGCCAGCUUGGCAUUCAUGGAGUAUACUGCCCGGGAGCUGAUUACAACAACAUACCAAGAAGAAAGAUGGAACAUGAUAUUGUCUAAAGUACAAGCUGGAGCUCAACUCUCUUAUAGACCACCAACUCAAAAGCUUCUCCCCUGGUCAGCUUCCACUGCUCAGAGUCAGAGAGACAGAUACCAAGUUCCAAAAGUCAAGUUUCUCUUCUCAGUGUCAACUUCAGCUGCUCAGAGUCAGAAAAAACAAAA